rnacentral:rRNA from 1 species
CGGGCGCACUGAUCCGGCCGGGCCUUUCCCUCUGUGGAACCCCAUGGCCUUCACUGGCUGUGCGGGGGAAACAGGACUUUUACUGUGAAAAAAUUAGAGUGCUCCAGGCAGGCCUAUGCUCGAAUACAUUAGCAUGGAAUAAUAGAAUAGGACGCGUGGUUCUAUUUUGUUGGUUUCUAGGACCGCCGUAAUGAUUAAUAGGGACAGUCGGGGGCAUCAGUAUUCAAUUGUCAGAGGUGAAAUUCUUGGAUCUAUUGAAGACUAACUACUGCGAAAGCAUUUGCCAAGGAUGUUUUCAUUGAUAAGGAACGAAAGUUAGGGGAUCGAAGACGAUCAGAUACCGUCGUAGUCUUAACUAUAAACUAUGCCGACUAGGGAUCGGACGAUGUUAUAUCUUGACGCGUUCGGCACCUUUCGAGAAAUCAAAGUGCUUGGGCUCCAGGGGGAGUAUGGUCGCAAAGCUGAAACUUAAAGAAAUUGACGGAAGGGCACCACCAGGGGUGGAACCUGCGGCUUAAUUUGACUCAACACGGGGAAACUCACCAGGUCCAGACACAGUGAGGAUUGACAGAUUGAGAGCUCUUUCUUGAUUCUGUGGGUGGUGGUGCAUGGGCCGUUCUUAGUUGGUGGAGUGAUUUGUCUGCUUAAUUGCGAUAACGAACGAGACCUUAACCUGCUAAAUAGCCCGUACUGCUCUGGCAGUUCGCUGGCUUCUUAGAGGGACUAUCGG